UGGGAAAAUUUUGUGAUAUGGGUUUUGAUUUGGGGUGAUUUUUGAGGUGGGUUUUGCUAGACUUUGACUUGAUACUAACAAUACCAGAACAGCCAUAGGAGAGGAUUUCUAUGAUUGUACAGAACACAACACUCAAGCUUUUUUCAUAGCAGUCUACCCUUUGUUUGUUACAGCCAACGUUUUGCAGGUAUUUUUUCUUUCCUAAAUAGUUCAUCGACCAUGCAUUAUAAAUCAUGUAAUUUAAUGGUUUUUGUUGAAUUUGUUACAUAAAUUUUUCAUGAUGGGUUUCUCGGGAUACCUAGAUGCUGCACAUAGAGACGAUUGAAGUUGAAGAUAUCGAUAGUGGCAAUUGCCCAGGUGAUGCUGCUGUCAGGAAAUGGUGAUUGUUGCUUCAAUUUUCAUUUGGGAGUGCGGAUGAGUAGAAAGAGAUAGAGAGAGAAUGAAGAUGAUGUGAAGAGGAGAAAUAAAAAAAGACACCGAUAGUGCAGUAUGCCCAAAAUUGAGAAAGAAA
rnacentral:lncRNA from 1 species